GAGUGUGUAGUAAUGUCGCGAGCCUCUCGGAAAAAAAAACCAGCCUCUCGAAGGAAACAGAGGAGUAGGAGGAUGAAAGGGAGGAGGGGAGAGGGGGGGAGGGAUAGAAACGAGCCACCGCCCAUACACGCUUCAUCAAUCUUCGCUUCUCGCGAGAGGACUAACGACGUCGCAGCGGGGAGAUAAACGGACUUGGCUGGUCGGGGGUAAUCUCGGUAUAUCAGUUGGCACGGUUAUUGUUGGCGAAGCCAACUGUGGAAAGAAAGCUGUCUGUUGUGGGGCCGUUGGUGAUCGAUCUUUCCUUUCAACGGUCUGCCAGUUCCUCUUAUUACCGGUUUCGAUAUCUUGAUCGCUAAUUAGCAAAAAUUAUUAUUUACGUUUUAAGGAUUAAAAUUUAAAUAUUUAUUAGAUUAA